CGGUGGCUAUAGCGGAGGGGAAACACCCGUUCCCAUCCCGAACACGGAAGUUAAGCCCUCCAGCGCCGAUGGUACUUGGGGGCCGACCCCUGGGAGAGUAGGUCGCCGCCG
rnacentral:rRNA from 1 species